rnacentral:rRNA from 1 species
GACAUAGGUGGCAAACGUUAUCCGGAAUUACUGGGCGUAAAGAGUUGCGUAGGUGGCAUUGUAAGUCUGUAGUGAAAGCGUGGGGCUCAACCUCAUAUACAUUAUGGAAACUGCAAAGCUAGAGGGCGAGAGAGGUUACUAGAAUUCCUUGUGUAGGAGUGAAAUCCGUAGAUAUAAGGAGGAAUACCGAUGGCGUAGGCAGGUAACUGGCUCGUCCCUGACACUAAGGCACGAAAGCGUGGGUAGCAAACUGG